rnacentral:rRNA from 1 species
UGGGGAAUAUUGCACAAUGGGCGCAAGCCUGAUGCAGCCAUGCCGCGUGUAUGAAGAAGGCCUUCGGGUUGUAAAGUACUUUCAGCGAGGAGGAAGGCGGUAAGGUUAAUAACCUUAUCGAUUGACGUUACUCGCAGAAGAAGCACCGGCUAACUCCGUGCCAGCAGCCGCGGUAAUACGGAGGGUGCAAGCGUUAAUCGGAAUUACUGGGCGUAAAGCGCACGCAGGCGGUCUGUCAAGUCGGAUGUGAAAUCCCCGAGCUCAACCUGGGAACUGCAUUCGAAACUGGCAGGCUAGAGUCUUGUAGAGGGGGGUAGAAUUCCAGGUGUAGCGGUGAAAUGCGUAGAGAUCUGGAGGAAUACCGGUGGCGAAGGCGGCCCCCUGGACAAAGACUGACGCUCAGGUGCGAAAGCGUGGGGAGCAAACA